UACAGAGGUCUCAAGCGUUGUUCGGAUUCAUUGGGCGUAAAGGGUGCGUAGGCGGCGCGGUAAGUCGGGUGUGAAAUCUCGGAGCUUAACUCCGAAACUGCAUUCGAUACUGCCGUGCUUGAGGACUGGAGAGGAGACUGGAAUUUACGGUGUAGCGGUGAAAUGCGUAGAUAUCGUAAGGAAGACCAGUGGCGAAGGCGGGUCUCUGGACAGUUCCUGACACUGAGGGACGAGAGCUAGGGGAGCGAAUGGG
rnacentral:rRNA from 1 species